rnacentral:rRNA from 1 species
UACGAAGGGGGCUAGCGUUGCUCGGAAUUACUGGGCGUAAAGGGCGCGUAGGCGGCACUGUUAGUCAGGCGUGAAAGUCCUGGGCUCAACCUGGGAACUGCGCUUGAUACGGCAGAGCUAGAGGAUGGAAGAGGGUCGCGGAAUUCCCAGUGUAGAGGUGAAAUUCGUAGAUAUUGGGAAGAACACCGGUGGCGAAGGCGGCGACCUGGUCCAUUACUGACGCUGAGGCGUGACAGCGUGGGGAGCAAACAGG